rnacentral:rRNA from 1 species
GGAGCUUGCUCCACCGGGAAAGAGGAGUGGCGAACGGGUGAGUAACACGUGGGUAACCUGCCCAUCAGAAGGGGAUAACACUUGGAAACAGGUGCUAAUACCGUAUAACAAUCGAAACCGCAUGGUUUCGUUUUGAAAGGCGCUUUACGGUGCCGCUGAUGGAUGGACCCGCGGUGCAUUAGCUAGUUGGUGAGGUAACGGCUCACCAAGGCCACGAUGCAUAGCCGACCUGAGAGGGUGAUCGGCCACAUUGGGACUGAGACACGGCCCAAACUCCUACGGGAGGCAGCAGUAGGGAAUCUUCGGCAAUGGACGAAAGUCUGACCGAGCAACGCCGCGUGAGUGAAGAAGGUUUUCGGAUCGUAAAACUCUGUUGUUAGAGAAGAACAAGGGUGAGAGUAACUGUUCACCCCUUGACGGUAUCUAACCAGAAAGCCACGGCUAACUACGUGCCAGCAGCCGCGGUAAUACGUAGGUGGCAAGCGUUGUCCGGAUUUAUUGGGCGUAAAGCGAGCGCAGGCGGUUUCUUAAGUCUGAUGUGAAAGCCCCCGGCUCAACCGGGGAGGGUCAUUGGAACUGGGAGACUUGAGUGCAGAAGAGGAGAGUGGAAUUCCAUGUGUAGCGGUGAAAUG